rnacentral:rRNA from 1 species
GACAGAGGAUGCAAGCGUUAUCCGGAAUGAUUGGGCGUAAAGCGUCUGUAGGUGGCUUUUUAAGUCCGCCGUCAAAUCCCAGGGCUCAACCCUGGACAGGCGGUGGAAACUACCAAGCUGGAGUACGGUAGGGGCAGGAGGGAAUUUCCGGUGGGAGCGGUGAAAUGCGUAGAGAUCGGAAAGAACACCCGUGGCUAAGGCGGUUCUCUAGUACGGUACUGACGCUGAGACGCGAAAGCGUGGGGAGCGAACAGG